rnacentral:tRNA from 1 species
CCUCUUUGUGGUAGCAAGGGCUGCUNCCUGUAGCGCGGAGCUACAAUCCGCUGCCUAUCACUUCUCGGCCAUUNUACC